AACGAACGCUGGCGGCAUGCCUAACACAUGCAAGUCGAACGAGAGCUUCGUGACAAUUGGCGCACGGGUGCGUAACGCGGGGGAACGUGCACUUAUAAUCCGGAUAACACUCCGAAAGGGGUGCUAAUAUCGGAUAAUGUCUUCGGACAAAAGAUUUGAUGUCUUUGGGUGGGCCCGCGUUGAUUUAGCUAGUUGGGAGGGUAAAAGCCUACUAAGGAGACGAUCCAUAGCUGGUCAUAGAGGCACAUCAGCCACACUGAGACUGGGACACGGUGCAGACUCCUACGAGAUGCAGCAAUGGGGGAUAUAGGAAGGUGGGCGGAGGCGUGAUCCAGCAAUGCUUGGUAAGUGAUGAAGGCCUUAGGGUAGUGAAGCUCUUUUACCCAGGAUGAUUCUGACGGUACCGAGAGAAUAAGCGCCGGCUAACUCCGUG
rnacentral:rRNA from 1 species